GUGUUCGUAGAAAGGAGAGAUGGUUGGCAUCUCCCCUGACAGGGACGGGAACAGCUUUCGGGCUUCCCUGUUACCACACAUCCGGUUAAGGCUCUCCACCUUAUAGGUGGAUCUAUAACCAAAUUUUUUU
rfam:Populus trichocarpa scaffold_3_contig_246, whole genome shotgun sequence.